CAGCCGUAAACGAUGUGCGUUAGGUGUGUCGGUAACCACGCGUUACUGAUGCGCCGAAGAGAAAUCGUGAAACGCACCACCUGGGAAGUACGGUCGCAAGGCUGAAACUUAAAGGAAUUGGCGGGGGAGCACCACAACAGGUGGAGCCUGCGGUUUAAUUGGAUUCAACGCCGGACAUCUCACCGGAUAAGACAGCUGAAUGAUUGUCAAUCUGAAGGUUUUACAUGACUAGCUGAGAGGUGGUGCAUGGCGUCAGUGACU
rnacentral:rRNA from 1 species